UGGGGAAUAUUGGCCAAUGGGCGCAAGCCUGAUCCAGCCAUGCCGCGUGAGUGAUGAAGGCCCUAGGGUUGUAAAGCUCUUUCACCGGUGAAGAUAAUGACGGUAACCGGAGAAGAAGCCCCGGCUAACUUCGUGCCAGCAGCCGCGGUAAUACGAAGGGGGCUAGCGUUGUUCGGAUUUACUGGGCGUAAAGCGCACGUAGGCGGACUUUUAAGUCAGGGGUGAAAUCCCGGGGCUCAACCCCGGAACUGCCUUUGAUACUGGAAGUCUUGAGUAUGGUAGAGGUGAGUGGAAUUCCGAGUGUAGAGGUGAAAUUCGUAGAUAUUCGGAGGAACACCAGUGGCGAAGGCGGCUCACUGGACCAUUACUGACGCUGAGGUGCGAAAGCGUGGGGAGCAAACAGG
rnacentral:rRNA from 1 species